rnacentral:rRNA from 1 species
AGGGAUCAUUACUGAGUUUACGCUCUAUAACCCUUUGUGAACAUACCUAUAACUGUUGCUUCGGCGGGUAGGGUCUCCGUGACCCUCCCGGCCUCCCGCCCCCGGGCGGGUCGGCGCCCGCCGGAGGAUAACCAAACUCUGAUUUAACGACGUUUCUUCUGGGUGGUACAAGCAAAUAAUCAAAACUUUUAACAACGGAUCUCUUGGUUCUGGCAUCGAUGAAGGACGCAGCGAAAUGCGAUAAGUAAUGUGAAUUGCAGAAUUCAGUGAAUCAUCGAAUCUUUGAACGCACAUUGCGCCCGCCAGCAUUCUGGCGGGCAUGCCUGUUCGAGCGUCAUUUCAACCCUCAAGCUCUGCUUGGUGUUGGGGCCCUACAGCUGAUGUAGGCCCUCAAAGGUAGUGGCGGACCCUCCCGGAGCCUCCUUUGCGUAGUAACUUUACGUCUCGCACUGGGAUCCGGAGGGACUCUUGCCGUAAAACCCCCAAUUCUCCAAAGGUUGACCUCGGAUCAGGUAGGAAUACCCGCUGAA